AUCCUCCCGCGUCCUCCCGGGCUCGCGCCGCUGUCACUGGAGCCCGCAUCCUCCGCCUCCCGCCGCCGCCGCGACCCCGCACCGGGAAUCAAGCCGGCGCGGAAAACCGCAAGCUUGACUCCACGCCCACCUGACUGGACUGAGAAAACCGAAGAAGUUGGUGAGGGUACAGCAAUAAAUAGCAGGAGGAGCAGAAUUUGAAACAGCAGCAUGCCGGUCCUGCGCCUGGUGAAGGAUGACUCGCCAGAAAGCAAAGGCGCAGACCUACCUCCGCGAGCUUGGCGCGUGGCCCAGGAGGCUCCGCGAGCCCUUGUACGUAAGGAUCGUGGCGCCCACGCUUGAGAGCAGAGCUCAGUGCAAACUUCCAACAGUUCUUCCAGUUUCCAGGGAAACGAGAUUUGGAGCUGCUGCGCGUUGCAGAGCUGCCUCUCUGCUCCCCACAUGGGACCCCUGUGGCUGGCUGGUCUUGAGGAGGAAGGAAUUGAAGCCACCUCAUCCUUGAAGGCUGUACACUUCCAUGAGUUUGGACAGUUGUCUACAUUUAUACAAACGACCACCUCUGGACUCACUGCUGUUCCAGCUUCUGCAAAUGCUAAGCUCAGCGUUUCCCCACACCAGGGUCUCUUUUGGAGUCUAGCUGAAGCACUUAAUGGGAAUCCACCUAAGUCUCCUCUGACUUUUUUGUUUAUGCAAAGAGUCCAGGGAAGCCAUGUCAGCUGUCCAUGUCUUAGUGAGAUCCAGAAUCAGUGGGGCACAUCUCCCAAGAGAGAAUUGCCAUUCUGCAUCUCCAUCAUGAGGAUGCUGCUGGACUACCUCUGCAGGAGUUUGCACUGAUGCUGUGCUACAAGGAACAAAGACCCUUCUCUGCUUUGGUUUUCUUCAGAAAUGGUCCUGGCUCUAUCUCCCACAUAUUCCAGCCUCCCACCAUUACAGUUGGGGUGGACUUUCCUUCUACCUGUGGAACACAUUAAAUGGAGUUCUUGUGUU
rnacentral:lncRNA from 1 species